rnacentral:rRNA from 1 species
AAUGAACGCUGGCGGCAUGCCUAACACAUGCAAGUCGAACGAAGCCUUCGGGCUUAGUGGCGCACGGGUGCGUAACGCGUGGGAAUCUGCCCUUAGGUUCGGAAUAACAGUUGGAACGACUGCUAAUACCGGAUGAUGACGUAAGUCCAAAGAUUUAUCGCCUAGGGAUGAGCCCGCAUAGGAUUAGCUAGUUGGUGUGGUAAAGGCGCACCAAGGCGACGAUCCUUAGCUGGUCUGAGAGGAUGAUCAGCCACACUGGGACUGAGACACGGCCCAGACUCCUACGGGAGGCAGCAGUGGGGAAUAUUGGACAAUGGGCGAAAGCCUGAUCCAGCAAUGCCGCGUGAGUGAUGAAGGCCUUAGGGUUGUAAAGCUCUUUUACCCGGGAUGAUAAUGACAGUACCGGGAGAAUAAGCUCCGGCUAACUCCGUGCCAGCCGCCGCCGUAA